rnacentral:snRNA from 1 species
UUGCUCACUUUGGCAAUACAUAUUCUAAAAUUGGAACAAUACAGAGAAGAUUAGCACGGCUCCUGUGCAAGGACCAUACACAAAAAUUCAUGAAGCAUUCCACAUUUUU